rnacentral:siRNA from 1 species
UGCAAAAUCUAAUAUAUGCGGCCA